rnacentral:rRNA from 1 species
GACGAACGCUGGCGGCGUGCUUAACACAUGCAAGUCGAACGGAAAGGCCCUGCUUUUGUGGGGUGCUCGAGUGGCGAACGGGUGAGUAACACGUGAGUAACCUGCCCUUGACUUUGGGAUAACUUCAGGAAACUGGGGCUAAUACCGGAUAGGAGCUCCUGCUGCAUGGUGGGGGUGGGAAAGUUUCGGCGGGUGGGGAUGGACUCGCGGCUUAUCAGCUUGUUGGUGGGGGAGUGGCUUACCAAGGCUUGGACGGGUAGCCGGCCUGAGAGGGUGACCGGCCACAUUGGGCCUGAGAUACGGCCCAGACUCCUACGGGAGGCAGCAGUGGGGAAUAUUGCCCAAUGGGCGGAAGCCUGAUGCAGAAACGCCGCGUGCGGGAUGACGGCCUUCGGGUUGUAAACCGCUUUCGCCUGUGACGAAGCGUGAGUGACGGUAAUGGGUAAAGAAGCACCGGCUAACUACGUG